rnacentral:rRNA from 1 species
UACGAAGGGUGCAAGCGUUACUCGGAAUUACUGGGCGUAAAGCGUGCGUAGGCGGUUUGUUAAGUCUGUCGUGAAAGCCCCGGGCUCAACCUGGGAAUGGCGAUGGAUACUGGCGAGCUAGAGUACGGUAGAGGAGAGUGGAAUUCCCGGUGUAGCAGUGAAAUGCGUAGAGAUCGGGAGGAACAUCAGUUGCGAAGGCGGCUCUCUGGACCAGUACUGACGCUGAGGCACGAAAGCUAGGGGAGCGAACGGG